UACGGAGGGUGCAAGCGUUGUCCGGAUUUAUUGGGUUUAAAGGGUGCGUAGGCGGCCCGUUAAGUCAGUGGUGAAAGCCUCCAGCUCAACUGGAGAACUGCCAUUGAUACUGACGGGCUUGAGUACAGACGAGGUUGGCGGAAUUGAUUGUGUAGCGGUGAAAUGCAUAGAUACAAUCAAGAACUCCCGAUUGCGUAGGCAGCUAACUAGGCUGUAACUGACGCUGAGGCACGAAAGCGUGGGGAGCGAACAGG
rnacentral:rRNA from 1 species